AUUUCUAUAUGAUGGGUUUCUUUUGUAAUCCUAUUUGUUUUAUGUGUUUCAAAAUGAUAUUCCAAGAGAAUUUAUAAGCUCUACACUGCCAAAAGAGUUUAUGUCACAAGUAAGAUUAAAACUCCUAAUCUAGAAACUUGGUUGAUAUAGACAAUUUUUGUGUCUUUAACCAUAUUUCUUUUGAUCAGGUGUGGGCAAUAAUAGUGAAGGUGGAAGAGGAAAGGCAGGUGCAAAGCUUUUCCAAGAUUUUCAGAUGUUAAGUAGAAUAUGGACUCAUCCUUGGUGUUUGCAGCUAGACUACAUUAGCAAAGAAAAUAAGGGUUAUUUUGAUGAAGACAGUAUGGAUGAAUUUAUAGCCUCAGAUUCUGAUGAAACCUCCAUGAGUUUAAGCUCCGAUGAUUAUAC
rnacentral:sRNA from 1 species